GCGAGUCGACGGGUUCUGAAACCUGGGAUGGGCAAGGAAGCGGACGAGCGGGAGGCCCUCACGGGCCGCACCGCUGGCCGACCCUGAUCUUCUGUGAAGGGUUCGAGUUGGAGCACGCUUGUCGGGACCCGAAAGAUGGUGAACUAUGCCUGAGCGGGGCAAUGCCAGAGGAAACUCUGGUGGAGGCUCGAAGCGAUACUGACGUGCAAAUCGUUCGUCUGACUUGGGUAUAGGGGCGAAAGACUAAUCGAACCAUCUAGUAGCUGGUUCCCUCUGAAGUUUCCCUCAGGAUAGCUGGAGCCCAUUACGAGUUCUAUCAGGUAAAGCCAAUGAUUAGAGGCAUCGGGGACGCAACGUCUUCGACCUAUUCUCAAACUUUAAAUAGGUAGGAUGGCGCGGCUGCUUCGGUGAGCCGUGCCACGAAAUCGGGUGCUCCAAGUGGGCCAUUUUUGGUAAGCAGAACUGGCGAUGCAGGAUGAAUCGGAAGCCGGGUUACGGUGCCCAACUGCGCGCUAACCUAGAACCCACAAAGGGUGUUGGUCGAUUAAGACAGCAGGACGGUGGUCAUGGAAGUCGAAAUCCGCUAAGGAGUGUGUAACAACUCAUAUGCCGAAUCAACUAGCCCCGAAAAUGGAUGGCGCUGAAGCGCGCGACCCACACCCGGCCAUCUGGGCGAGCGCCAUGCCCCGAUGAGUAGGAGGGCGCGGCGGCCGCUGCAAAACCCGGGGCGCGAGCCCGGGCGGAGCGGCCGUCGAUGCAGAUCUUGCUGGUAGUAGCAAAUAUUCAAAUGAGAACUUUGAAGGCCGAAGAGGAGAAAGGUUCCAUGUGAACGGCACUUGCACAUGGGUAAGCUAAUCCUAAGGGAAGGGGUAACCCCGGCAGAUAGCGCGAUCACGCGCAUCCCCCGAAAGGGAAUCGGGUUAAGAUUUCCCGAGCCGGGAUGUGGCGGUUGACGGCGACGUUAGGAAGUCCGGAGACGCCGGCGGGGGCCUCGGGAAGAGUUAUCUUUUCUGUUUAACGGCCUGCCAACCCUGGAAACGGUUCAGCCGGAGGUAGGGUCCAGUGGCCGGAAGAGCACCACACGUCGCGCGGUGUCCGGUGCGCCCUCGGCGGCCCAUGAAAAUCCGGAGGACCGAGUACCGUUCACGCCCGGUCGUACUCAUAACCGCAUCAGAUCUCCAAGGUGAACAGCCUCUGGCCAAUGGAACAAUGUAGGCAAGGGGAGUCGGCAAAACGGAUCCGUAACUUUGGGAAAAGGAUUGGCUCUGAGGACUGGGCUCGGGGGUCCCGGCGCCGAACCCGUCGGCUGUCGGCGGAUUGCUCGGGCUGCUCACGCGGCGAGAUCGGGUCGCCGCGUGCUGGCCGGGGGAAGGACCGGGAAUCGCCCCUUCGGGGGCUUUCCCCGAGCAUGAAACAGUCGACUCAGAACUGGUACGGACAAGGGGAAUCCGACUGUUUAAUUAAAACAAAGCAUUGCGAUGGUCCUCGCGGAUGCUGACGCAAUGUGAUUUCUGCCCAGUGCUCUAAAUGUCAAAGUGAAGAAAUUCAACCAAGCGCGGGUAAACGGCGG
rnacentral:ncRNA from 1 species